AACGAACGCUGGCGGCAGGCUUAACACAUGCAAGUCGAACGCCCCGCAAGGGGAGUGGCAGACGGGUGAGUAACGCGUGGGAAUCUACCGUACCCUACGGAAUAACGCAUGGAAACGUGUGCUAAUACCGUAUACGCCCUACGGGGGAAAGAUUUAUCGGGGUAUGAUGAGCCCGCGUUGGAUUAGCUAGUUGGUGGGGUAAAGGCCUACCAAGGCGACGAUCCAUAGCUGGUCUGAGAGGAUGAUCAGCCACAUUGGGACUGAGACACGGCCCAAACUCCUACGGGAGGCAGCAGUGGGGAAUAUUGGACAAUGGGCGCAAGCCUGAUCCAGCCAUGCCGCGUGAGUGAUGAAGGCCCUAGGGUUGUAAAGCUCUUUCACCGAUGAAGAUAAUGACGGUAGUCGGAGAAGAAGCCCCGGCUAACUUCGUGCCAGCCGCCGCCGUAACAC
rnacentral:rRNA from 1 species